rnacentral:rRNA from 1 species
ACUCCUACGGGAGGCAGCAGUAGGGAAUCUUCCACAAUGGGCGCAAGCCUGAUGGAGCAACACCGCGUGAGUGAAGAAGGGUUUCGGGUUGUAAAGUACUUUCAGCAGUGAGGAAGGUGGAUAUGUUAAUAGCAUAUUCAUUUGACGUUAGCUGCAGAAGAAGCACCGGCUAACUCCGUGCCAGCAGCCGCGGUAAUACGGAGGGGUGCGAGCGUUAAUCGGAAUUACUGGGGCGUAAAGCGCAUGCAGGUGGUUUGUUAAGUCAGAUGUGAAAGCCCGGGGGCUCAACCUCGGAAUUGCAUUUGAAACUGGCAAACUAGAGUACUGUAGAGGGGGUAGAAUUUCAGGUGUAGCGGUGAAAUGCGUAGAGAUCUGAAGGAAUACCGGUGGCGAAGGCGGCCCCCUGGACAGAUACUGACACUCAGAUGCGAAAGCGUGGGGAGCAAACAGGAUUAGAUACCCUGGUAGGAUAGCG